AUACUUACCUGGCAGGGGAGAUACCAUGAUCACUAAGGUGGACCCCUGCAAUUUCCCCAAAUGCAGGAAACUCAACUGCAUAAUUUGUGGUAGUCGGGGACUGCGUUCACGCUAUCCCCUG
rnacentral:snRNA from 1 species